rnacentral:lncRNA from 1 species
GUGGUAUAUGUUGAGAUUGGCCUGCAAAUAUGCUGUAUGGACUAUAGAGUUUUCUAUGCCCAUAACUUAACAUGAACUGGAUGCAAGAUUAUAUCAAUCACUGAGGAUAUGUGUAUAACCUCAUUGGUUGAUAUCUUUGGCGGAAGUACAUGUGAUACAUCCUCAUUCUUUCAAUAUCCAAGUGGUGGUUGGUUUAAGGGCUAUGUUUGGUCAGGCAAUACAUAUUGCCUGUUUGGGUUGAUGAGGUUCUUGAUAAGUUCCCCCCUCUCCCACCCAUAAGUAACAAAAUGUGGAUAUGUUUUUAUAUUUAUAUUUCAAUAUUGGUUUUACAUGUAUGCAUUUUGGGUUGAUGAGCACGAGACAACAUUAGAAAAACAUGAGCAUUACCAUGGGAUCUUGUUGACAAAACAAACUUUCACUUAAUCGAUUUUCAAGGGAAAGGUCAAUUAGGGCAAGUGUAUUGGCAUGUUUGUGUUUGCUUUUUCAUUACAACGGUAAAAUAAUAUUAUAUAUCUCGGAUGACAAUAAUGUUGAUUAUAAUGCUUCAUUUUAUGAGCUCCAGAGUAGUUUUUAUAACUGAAAAACAACUGUGCACUAUAUCCAGUGAGCUCUUCUGCAUUGCAUUGUGCAUGGUAGUCCACAUUUUGGUUUCUGAAACGUUAAGAUAUUAUCUUGUAUUCGGUUCUUUCCUCUAGAGUUUUCUAUGCCCAUAACUUAACAUGAACUGGAUGCAAGAUUAUAUCAAUCACUGAGGAUAUGUGUAUAAC